GCUACCAUGCAGUCGAACGAUGACGGAGAGCUUGCUCUUCUGAUUAGUGGCGAACGGGUGAGUAACACGUGAGCAAUCUGCCCUUGACUCUGGGAUAAGCGUUGGAAACGACGUCUAAUACCGGAUACGACCCUUGGAGGCAUCUCUGGGGGUGGAAAGAAUUUUGGUCAGGGAUGAGCUCGCGGCCUAUCAGCUAGUUGGUGAGGUAAUGGCUCACCAAGGCGACGACGGGUAGCCGGCCUGAGAGGGUGACCGGCCACACUGGGACUGAGACACGGCCCAGACUCCUACGGGAGGCAGCAGUGGGGAAUAUUGCACAAUGGGCGAAAGCCUGAUGCAGCAACGCCGCGUGAGGGACGACGGCCUUCGGGUUGUAAACCUCUUUUAGUAGGGAAGAAGCGAAAGUGACGGUACCUGCAGAAAAAGCACCGGCUAACUACGUGCCAGCAGCCGCGGUAAUACGUAGGGUGCAAGCGUUGUCCGGAAUUAUUGGGCGUAAAGAGCUCGUAGGCGGUUUGUCGCGUCUGCUGUGAAAACCCGAGGCUCAACCUCGGGCCUGCAGUGGGUACGGGCAGACUAGAGUGCGGUAGGGGAGAUUGGAAUUCCUGGUGUAGCGGUGGAAUGCGCAGAUAUCAGGAGGAACACCAAUGGCGAAGGCAGAUCUCUGGGCCGUAACUGACGCUGAGGAGCGAAAGCAUGGGGAGCGAACAGGAUUAGAUACCCUGGUAGUCCAUGCCGUAAACGUUGGGAACUAGAUGUGGGGACCAUUCCACGGUCUCCGUGUCGCAGCUAACGCAUUAAGUUCCCCGCCUGGGGAGUACGGCGC
rnacentral:rRNA from 1 species